UUUGACUUUUCGAUCUUGAUUAACUAUUUUUCGCAGUGGUCUAAUGGCUUUCAUCUGCAUCACUUAUCACUCAUUGGCUGGAAUUUGAAGAAGGUCAAAUUCAAAGUUUGACUUCUAACUUUGACUUCUCCAUGUGACAUUGCAUUUGUGUCUUUAGUUUUUAUUUUUUACUUUAAUCUUGAUUUUACUUGUUUAUUAAUUUUAACAUAUCUUGAUUAUUUGUCAUGUUAUUGAAAAAA
rnacentral:lncRNA from 1 species